ACAGGAAAUGCAAUGUCUUUGAAAGGAUGGAGUAGAUUUCAUUUUCUAGCGAUCACUUUCCUUCUGCUGGUGACACACUGUUACUUCAAAGGCCUGGACCGGGGCGUGUUUCCUGUAAGGGUGAGCAGAUUUGAAUGACCGCUCAGGAUGGACCUGCUCUAAGCCUGACCAGACUUGGAACUGAAGCACCUUAAGGACAAAAGAAAGACUUGCUGAGCUCGCUCACAGACCUUCUAGAGCAGCGCUGGGCUCAUGGAUCUGGAGAUUAUGGACAGAAGAUAAUGUAGAUGUUAUAACCAGGCCAGCGUCCUGUGGUAAAGGGUGUCUUUAGAUCACUGUUUCGUCGGUAUAGGUAAAUGACAUGAAGAACAUCUUUAUAGGCAGGGGAUGAGAAUCUGAGAUGAAGAAAAGAGGCUCCCCUGAUGGACCAUUCUAAGCUACUGUCAGAAGCAGGAUCCAUAGAACUUAAGGACAUGAUUGCAACAAUUAUCAGACAUUGGCCUCUUAGGUCAUGGUGAUCUUUUAGUAUUUUGGCUUUCUGCUGUCCUUUCAUAAAGGAACCUCAUUUUUAGCUUCUAUUGAAGAUAUAAAAUCAUCUCAUAGUAUUUUCUCAUUACUAGGAGCUGUAAAUCACUUCAAAGCUGUCUUUCUCCUUGAUCAUUUGCAUAUCAAAGUAUUUCUCUUGAGUACGGUGAUCUCUCCCCCUGUGGUUUGCUGUGUACCAGUUCUCUCUGGAUCCUAGGGCCUAGGGAAGUGUGGAUUCCAAGUGACUGGUGUUUUUCUACAGUAGAGCUUUUUUGUUGGCUCUUACCUGGGAGGACAAUGGGGAAGGGCCAGGGCCAUCCUGUUCUUUGCUGGGUGUGACCUUUCCUGCUCUGCUUCAGGGUUCCAUGCUGAAACCACCUUUAGCCAUCAUCGAGUGGGACUCCUUUUUACAUUUUGGUGUUUACAGGUUCUGUCUCAAUGACGAUCAGCACUAACCAUCACAGUGAGGAAGGAAAGCAGAGAUUGUCCUGGACAAGGUGCUUAGCUUGCUCCCCCCUCUCCUUCACAUCAUAAUGACAGGCUCUUCCUUUUAUGUGGGUUCCCCUGCCUUUGAGGUAUCUCAGCCUCUCUUUGCACUUUGUGUCAGAGUGGGGUGCAAGACUCUACAGAGGCUACCACGGGACUUCUGGCCUAUCAGAGAACGCCAGACCUUAGUGUCACUGUUGGAACGGUAGAUUCUGAAGAUAUCCAGAAGCUAAGAGGAACACAGAGAGGGGACAAGGAGUCAGAUACCAUGAAGUAAACAGCCCCACCCCACCCUUUUCUCCAGUUAGAAGUGGCUGUAUUUGUUCGGUUGGAAUGAUCUCUUGGUGUCUGGCAGCUUGAACACAAGUCAACACAGUUGGAAAAGCCAGUUUUCCUAGCUUCUUGGCACAGCUGAUUUCCCGGUAUGGAUUGGCCCUUGGUGUGUCUUUGUGGUGGCAUGGCAAUCAUUAGGAAGGAGUGCUAUCCAGCUGUGAUUGCCCACCAUGAACUAGAGGAGAAGAUCUGGAAUUUCAAACAUGGUGGUGAGUAAGGAACUGGGGGAAGAGAAGGAAAUCAAGACCCUCUCAGAAGACAGGAAGCUCGGCCCUUGCCAUGCCGAUGAGAUGAUCAUUGAGCCGUAGGGGAGAUUCUGAAUCAUUUACUAGUGGUCCCUCCUCUUCCGAAGACAACACCCACUGCAAGGUGGCUGCAGGGCUCUCUCCCACCAGCAGGGUCUUCCCCCCCGCCCCCCGCACAUUAUCUCUGUAAUAGUCCUGGGAAUGUUGGUCAACAUAGACCUCUGUAUCCUGGUAACUUAUAACUGCCAAAACCCAAUACGAUGUAACUCCCAAGACUGGACAAAAUGGUUCAGUCCUUCCCUGUCCCCUGGAACAUCAGUACUGAGCUCCUGGUCAUCACACAAGCCUUCCCUGAAAGCCCCAUCAGGAGAAGGCCCAUGGUAGCCCAUGGAAUUACCACCAGGCAGCCACAGACUGCAUGAAGAGAAACACAUCUGGCCAGUCUCCAGCUGGGUGAGUUCCCCACACCCACUGACUCUAACUGCACAAGAGACUGUGUUGUUGUUUGCACUGAACUGUGUUCCCCAGGCCCAUGGGUUAGAAAGCUGGCUCUAGUUUGGAGGUACUGCGAGAUGGAAACUUACAUACGUGGGACCUUACAAGAUUAGGGGUAUCUCCUCAAAGGGGAUUGUGGGACCGCAGUUUUUUUUUCUCUAUGUCUUUUUUCAUGUCUUGUUUGUGAGGUGAAUGUCUUUACUCUGUCGUCAACUCAGCCAUGAUAUGCUGCCCAGGGCCAAAGCAAAAGGUCCGAUUGGUCAUGGGCUGGAACAUCUGAAAUCAGGAGCCAAAAUAAACCUUUCCUCUUGAUAA
rnacentral:lncRNA from 1 species